rnacentral:rRNA from 1 species
GAUGAACGCUGGCGGCGUGCCUAAUACAUGCAAGUCGAGCGAACAGAUGAGGAGCUUGCUCCUCUGACGUUAGCGGCGGACGGGUGAGUAACACGUGGAUAACCUACCUAUAAGACUGGGAUAACUUCGGGAAACCGGAGCUAAUACCGGAUAAUAUAUUGAACCGCAUGGUUCAAUAGUGAAAGACGGUUUUGCUGUCACUUAUAGAUGGAUCCGCGCCGCAUUAGCUAGUUGGUAAGGUAACGGCUUACCAAGGCAACGAUGCGUAGCCGACCUGAGAGGGGGAUGGGCCACCCUGGAACUGGACACCGGCCCGAACCCCCAGGGGAGGCAGAAGUAGGGAAUCUUCCGCAAGGGGCGAAAGCCUGACGGAGCAACGCCGGGGGAGGGAAGAAGGGCUUCGGUUCGUAAAACCUUUUUAUUGGGGAAGAACAAAUGUGUAAGUAACUAUGCCCGUCUUGACGGUACCUAAUCAAAAAGCCCCGGCUAACUACUU